rnacentral:misc_RNA from 1 species
AAGUCGUAACAAGGUUUCCGUAGGUGAACCUGCGGAAGGAUCAUUAACACUCCAAAACUUUUUCUCAUAGCUCUGGGAAACCAGAGUUUAUGAAACCCUAUUCACUACUGCGAACCCGGCCAGAUGGAAGGAGGGGUGGUUCUUUUCCCUGGUGGAACAAAAACCACAAAACACCUCAUCCAUCUAGCUACCUUUUUUUUUUCUUUUGUCCAAUUUUUCCUUUUUAAACCCCAAUCAUUAUUAUCUUUUUUCGGUCUGACUGGAAGACUCUCUCGGGUCUUCCGUUGCUCUUCUACUCUAACCAGUGAAGGCAAUGAAAACUGCUAUUUUAAAAAAAAAAAACAAAAAAACAACUCUUAGCAACGGAUAUCUUGGUUCUC